ACCGUAUCCUAACGGCUGGUUUCCUCUUUCUGUCGUCCUCUGUUUCAGGUCUCGGAAAGGAGCCGACUGACGUGAGAAGAGGAAACAGAACUAGAAGCUGCGGCGUUGGGCUUCACCGCCGAGGAAAGAAAGGGAAGCACAACCCCCCCCCCCCCCGCCUUUCCAGAGAGGAACGCGAUGUGAACAAGACAAGAGUGAUGAAAGAGAGGUCCAGACAUGAAGGAGGCACACGCACACACAGACACACAUCCAUGGCACCUGGAGUCUGUCUGCGGUCUACCACCAGCCUGCCACACACACCCAUGACUGUGACGGUCGGCAGAUUAAGUGGGCGACGCCAUUCCAGCUGUGAGGAGAUGGAAGAAGUCAACACACAUGCACACACAGACACACACACAGACGCACGCACACAGACAGACACACAGAGCCGGAGGCGCACGAGCAUUAAGUCAGGCAGCUAAACAGAUCACGUCGCGGUAUGAUAUCUGCAGACAGGCAGACAGAGGAGGCCGGUUUGUACCUGCAGGCGCAGAGCAACAACUCCCAGCAACCUCGCCAGGAAUUUCCUCCCCCUCCUGAGAGACAGAGAGAGAGAGGAGGGGG